rnacentral:rRNA from 1 species
AUAGGCCCAAGCGACUGUUUACCAAAAACAUAGGUUUCUGCUAAGUCGCAAGACGAUGUAUAGGAGCUGACGCCUGCCCGGUGCUGGAAGGUUAAGGGGAUCUGUUAGAGAAUCGAAGCAGUGAACUUAAGCCCCAGUAAACGGCGGCCGUAACUAUAACGGUCCUAAGGUAGCGAAAUUCCUUGUCGGGUAAGUUCCGACCCGCACGAAAGGCGUAACGAUUUGGGCACUGUCUCAACAACAGACUCGGUGAAAUUGUAAUUCCGGUGAAGAUGCCGGAUACCUGCGACAGGACGGAAAGACCCCAUGGAGCUUUACUGUAGCUUGACAUUGGGUCUUGGUACUACAUGUACAGGAUAGGUGGGAGGCUUUGAAACCAGGACGCCAGUUUUGGCGGAGCCAUCCUUGGGAUACCACCCUUGUAGUACUGGGACUCUAACCAUAGGCCAUGAAUCUGGUCUUGGGACACUGUCAGGUGGGCAGUUUGACUGGGGCGGUCGCCUCCCAAAAGGUAACGGAGGCGCUCAAAGGUUCUCUCAGUACGGUCGGAAAUCGUACGUAGAGUGUAAAGGCAAAAGAGAGCUUGAUUGCAAGACAUACAGGUCGAGCAAGGAUGAAAAUCGGACUUAGUGAUCCGGUGGUUCUGCGUGGAAGGGCCAUCGCUCAACGGAUAAAAGCUACCCUGGGGAUAACAGGCUUAUCUCCCCCAAGAGUCCACAUCGACGGGGAGGUUUGGCACCUCGAUGUCGGCUCAUCACAUCCUGGGGCUGUAGUAGGUCCCAAGGGUUGGGCUGUUCGCCCAUUAAAGUGGUACGCGAGCUGGGUUCAGAACGUCGUGAGACAGUUCGGUCCCUAUCCGUCGCAGGCGUAGGAAAUUUGAGAAGACCUGUCCUUAGUACGAGAGGACCGGGAUGGACGUACCUCUGGUGUACCAGUUGUCCUGCCAAGGGCAUGGCUGGGUAGCUAUGUACGGAAUGGAUAAGCGCUGAAAGCAUCUAAGCGCGAAGCCAACUUCAAGAUAAGAUUUCCCACCGCAAGGGUAAGACCCCAGAAAGACUAUCUGGUUGAUAGGUCGAAGGUGUAAGUGCAGCAAUGUAUUUAGCUUAUCGAUACUAAUAGGUCGAGGACUUGACCA